GGGGAUUUAGCUCAGUGGUAGAGCGCUUGCCUAGCAAGCACAAGGCCCUGGGUCCGGUCCCCAGCUCCG
rfam:Rattus norvegicus chromosome 17, whole genome shotgun sequence.